rfam:Zhouia amylolytica AD3 51.P278.1_13, whole genome shotgun sequence.
GUGGUUGUAGCUCAGCUGGUUAGAGCGCUGGAUUGUGGUUCCAGAGGUCGCCGGUUCGAACCCGGUCUUCCACC